AAAAUAAUAAGAAGGGAAGACCUCUGCUUUGAAAAAUUUGGUCUGGGAAAUAGUUACCAAGGCUGAAGAAUGAGUUUUGAAACUACUUCUGAAAGUUGAUGCUGUUCAUGAAAUCACAGGAAAUUAAUUGCUUGAUAACCAGUGGAUAGCUGAAUUUUGAAGAGAUGCAAUUUCUUUCCCUUGUAUUGUACCUCUCACUUUUAUGAUCAGAACAAAGUCAAGCCUGUUGAGGAGAAUAAAAGUUCUCCACUUGUCGGAAGUGUAUUUCCUGCAUCCUCAGUUUCAACAGAAGUAGAAAUUAAUUUUAGUGUAUAAAUUCAUAUGAGAGAAAGUGGAAAUGUGUGACAUCAUAUACACCAGAAAGGUCCUUGCUGCCUGACUAGACCUCUGUGUGUAGUACAAUGUAAUAAAUACUCAGUUGUUGAGAAAGAAAGAAUUUGC
rnacentral:lncRNA from 1 species